AGCUCCAAUAGCGUAUAUUAAAGUUGCUGCAGUUAAAAAGCUCGUAGUUGCAUUUCCGAGGCAAGGGAUUAGUCCGACCUUUGGUGGGUAUUUAAUCCUCUUGCCUCGUCCUUGAGUGGUGCUUCUUGGUAUUAAGUUAUCGAGGAGAUAGCCGCUCAUCGUUUACUGUGAGAAAAUUAGAGUGUUCAAAGCAGGCUUAUGCCGUUGAAUAUAUUAGCAUGGAAUAAUAAGAUAGGACCUCGGUACUAUUUUGUUGGUUUGAGAACCAAGGUAAUGAUGAAUAGGGACAGUUGGGGGUAUUCGUAUUCAGUUGUCAGAGGUGAAAGUCUUAGAUUUACGGAAGACGAACUACUGCGAAAGCAUUUACCAAGGAUGUGUUCA
rnacentral:rRNA from 1 species